rnacentral:tRNA from 1 species
GGGUAAGUGGCGGAAUGGUAGACGCAAUACACUCAAAAUGUAUCGAUUCACAUCAUGAGGGUUCGAGUCCCUCUUUACCCA